AUUGAACGCUGGCGGCAGGCCUAACACAUGCAAGUCGAGCGAGCGGCGGACGGGUGAGUAAUGCCUAGGAAUCUGCCUGGUAGUGGGGGAUAACGUCCGGAAACGGGCGCUAAUACCGCAUACCAUCAGAUGUGCCCAGAUGGGAUUAGCUAGUAGGUGGGGUAAUGGCUCACCUAGGCGACGAUCCCUAGCUGGUCUGAGAGGAUGACCAGCCACACUGGAACUGAGACACGGUCCCGACUCCUACGGGAGGCAGCAGGGGGGAAUAUUGCACAAUUGGCGCAAGCCUGAUGCAGCCAGGCCGCGUGUGUGAAGAAGGCCUUCGGGUUGUAAAGCACUUUCAGCGGGGAGGCGUUACCCGCAGAAGAAGCACCGGCUAACUCCGUGCCAGCAGCCGCGGUAAUAC
rnacentral:rRNA from 1 species